rnacentral:rRNA from 1 species
CGUGGGCGCUGGAGAACUGAGGGGGGCUGCUCCUAGUACGAGAGGACCGGAGUGGACGCAUCACUGGUGUUCGGGUUGUCAUGCCAAUGGCACUGCCCGGUAGCUAAAUGCGGAAGAGAUAAGUGCUGAAAGCAUCUAAGCACGAAACUUGCCCCGAGAUGAGUUCUCCCUGAGACUUUAGGUCUCCUGAAGGAACGUUGAAGACGACGACGUUGAUAGGCCGGGUGUGUAAGCGCAGCGAUGCGUUGAGCUAACCGGUACUAAUGAACCGUGAGGCUUAACCUUACAACGCCGAAG